rnacentral:rRNA from 1 species
AUUGAACGCUGGCGGCAUGCUUUACACAUGCAAGUCGAGCGGCAGCGCGGGGGGCAACCCUGGCGGCGAGCGGCGAACGGGUGAGUAAUGCAUCGGAACGUACCCUGGAGUGGGGGAUAACGCCGCGAAAGCGGCGCUAAUACCGCAUAUGCUCUGAGGAGGAAAGUGGGGGGACCGCAAGGCCUCACGCUCUGGGAGCGGCCGAUGUCCGAUUAGCUAGUUGGUGAGGUAAAGGCUUACCAAGGCGACGAUCCGUAGCGGGUCUGAGAGGACGGCCCGCCACACUGGGACUGAGACACGGCCCAGACUCCUACGGGAGGCAGCAGUGGGGAAUUUUGGACAAUGGGGGCAACCCUGAUCCAGCCAUUCCGCGUGAGUGAAGAAGGCCUCGGUGUAAAGCUCUUUCUAGUACGGAAAGAAAUACGACGCGCUCUAACAUAGCGCGUGGAUGACGGUACCGUAACGAAGAAG